rnacentral:lncRNA from 1 species
AUUCUACUGACUCCAAGUUCACGCAGCUGUUCAUCCCCUGCUUAAUGUACCGGUGAGUUCCUUGAAGCCCUGAACCGAGGACUUCUUGUGUACUUUAACGUUUGUUAUAUCUGAAGAUAUUCUGAUUGGCAACAUUUUUAACAUAGAGAACUGUUUAAAGAAAAUACCACCAGCACACAACUCAUCCACAAAAUGCUGUUUUUGAAAAAGAUGGAGAGGCUGUGACUGAGAUCAUCAGAGAACCAGCCCGGCACCCCAAACAUAAUAGGGCAAAGGAGUCAGAUGAGAAUUUUGUUCAGUAUGAGACACUGGACAACAAGACAGGACCCUUGACCUCAGAAAUGCAGGAAUUCAAGAAUAUUAUAGAACAUGAAGUAGCAGAGCCAUGGAGGAGAAUUUAUAGCACUAAUCUUGAGCACUUUCCCCCGAGGACUCUGCGCUGUUUUCACAAAGGCCUCUCGGAAUGCCAGGCUGUGAAAGGUAGAAAUGUAAACACGGGGACAGGAGUGUCCUUCAGUCUAAAGAGGAGCCACGCAGGUUUCUAGUUGCCAGCAUUCCAGUAGUGGCACUGGGAAAUGGUUUUAUAGGAUAAACAAAUCACCCAAAUGCAGAAAAUGCAAUUCCACUGAAGCAAAUCCAACUUCCUUUCCUGACAGAGAAUGUAAUUAAAUCCUGCUUCAGGAGGACGGUUUAUAUCCUCUGCUGCUGGGGGUCUCGGCUCAUGCUCAUCGCUGGUGUUUACAAGAUGACAUUACCUGCCUCCUGUGACAUGCUGAGGCAGCCCUGACUUUGAAGAUGGGGUGGUGGUGCAUGCGAGGGAAGGGGGAUGAGUGAGGCUGUGUUUCAUUUGCAGAGCUUGGCUGUUCAUCUCUCACAUUCACAUCUGACACCAGAAGCCCACACCAUGCUUGGCUUUUCCAAAACAGUGAUUCUAAUGUAACAUCCUAAUAAGCUGUGUUAACUCACCUUUCAGAAGGAGGCUGGGGGGACAUACAUCACAACAAGUUGAGAGGAAGGGGUGAUUGUAACAAUAUUAAAUAUAAUUAUCACCAGCAGAAGUUCUAUGAGAUGAAGUGACUGAAUCACAGCUCAUGAUGUCUUCAAAAUACAAUUAAAAGUGCAAUUUUACUAUA